rnacentral:misc_RNA from 1 species
ACCAAAAAAAAAUCAUUAAUGAUUUAAAACUUACAAAUAUGGAAGAACUCGAACACCCCUUACUCCCAUCAACUUCAUACUAUUCACAAAUUUUUUUCUUUUUAUAAAGAAAAGGAAGGUCAGACAAUGCUACAAUCAUCCUCAUAAUUCUAUAAUCACAUAUUCAAAUGGAACUCUUUAGUGCUACGGGUCAGAGGAAUUCAGUCUUGAGCUGAGUCAAAAUCCUCUAAACCAAAAAAUGAGGCAUAUCUUAGACAAUCCAUAUGCUUCUCGCAUAAGAUGGGAAAUGUUCUGAAUUUAUGCA